rnacentral:tRNA from 1 species
UGGAAUAGCUCAGUCGGUAGAGCAGUUCACUCGUAAUGAAAAGGUCGUAGGUUCGAUUCCUAUUUCCAG